rnacentral:lncRNA from 1 species
AUUUGCAGUUUUUAUACGACCGCAAAAUUUGAAAAAUUUUUCGUCGUAUAUUGCUAUCACGUUGGCGUCUGCGUCGUCGUCGUCGUCCGGCGUCCGAAUACUUUUAGUUUUCGCACUCUAACUUUAGUAAAAGUGAAUGGAAAUCUAUGAAAUUUUAACACAAGGUUUAUGACCACAAAAGGAAGGUUGGUAUUGAUUUUGGGAGUUUUGGUCCCAACAUUUUAGGAAUUAGGGGCCAAAAAGGGCCCAAAUAAGCAUUUUCUUGGUUUUCGCACUAUAACUUUAGUUUAAGUUAAUAGAAAUCUAUGAAAUUUUGACACAAGGUUUAUGACCACAAAAGAACGGUUGGGAUUGAUUUUGGGAGUUUAGGUUUCAACAGUUUAGGAAUUAGGGGCCAAAAAAGGGCCCAAAUAAGCAUUAUUCUUGGUUUUCGCACAAUAACUUUAGUUUAAGUAAAUAGAAAUCAAUGAAAUUUAAACACAAUGUUAAUGACUACAAAAGGAAGGUUGGUAUUGAUUUUGGGAGUUUAGGUCCCAACAGUUUAGGAAUUAGGGGCCAAAAAGGGACCCAAAUAAGCAUUUUUCUUGGUUUUCGCACCAUAACGUUAGUAUAAGUAAAUAGAAAUCUAUGAAAUUUAAACACAAGGUU